UACGUAGGGUGCGAGCGUUGUCCGGAAUUAUUGGGCGUAAAGAGCUCGUAGGCGGUCUGUCGCGUCGAUCGUGAAAACUUGGGGCUUAACCCUGAGCUUGCGGUCGAUACGGGCAUGACUUGAGUACUGCAGGGGAGACUGGAAUUCCUGGUGUAGCGGUAAAAUGCGCAGAUAUCAGGAGGAACACCGGUGGCGAAGGCGGGUCUCUGGGCAGUAACUGACGCUGAGGAACGAAAGCGUGGGUAGCGAACAGG
rnacentral:rRNA from 1 species